GUGAACUCGAAGAGUAGGGCGGGACACGUGGUAUCCUGUCUGAAUAUGGGGGGACCAUCCUCCAAGGCUAAAUACUCCUGACUGACCGAUAGUGAACCAGUACCGUGAGGGAAAGGCGAAAAGAACCCCGGCGAGGGGAGUGAAAAAGAACCUGAAACCGUGUACGUACAAGCAGUGGGAGCCUCUUUAUGGGGUGACUGCGUACCUUUUGUAUAAUGGGUCAGCGACUUAUAUUCUGUAGCAAGGUUAACCGUAUAGGGGAGCCGAAGGGAAACCGAGUCUUAACUGGGCGUUAAGUUGCAGGGUAUAGACCCGAAACCCGGUGAUCUAGCCAUGGGCAGGUUGAAGGUUGGGUAACACUAACUGGAGGACCGAACCGACUAAUGUUGAAAAAUUAGCGGAUGACCUGUGGCUGGGGGUGAAAGGCCAAUCAAACCGGGAGAUAGCUGGUUCUCCCCGAAAGCUAUUUAGGUAGCGCCUCGUGAACUCAUCUUCGGGGGUAGAGCACUGUUUCGGCUAGGGGGCCAUCCCGGCUUACCAACCCGAUGCAAACUACGAAUACCGAAGAAUGUUAUCACGGGAGACACACGGCGGGUGCUAACGUCCGUCGUGAAGAGGGAAACAACCCAGACCGCCAGCUAAGGUCCCAAAGUCAUGGUUAAGUGGGAAACGAUGUGGGAAGGCACAGACAGCCAGGAUGUUGGCUUAGAAGCAGCCAUCAUUUAAAGAAAGCGUAAUAGCUCACUGGUCGAGUCGGCCUGCGCGGAAGAUGUAACGGGGCUAAACCAUGCACCGAAGCUGCGGCAGCGACACUAUGUGUUGUUGGGUAGGGGAGCGUUCUGUAAGCCGUUGAAGGUGUGCUGUGAGGCAUGCUGGAGGUAUCAGAAGUGCGAAUGCUGACAUAAGUAACGAUAAAGCGGGUGAAAAGCCCGCUCGCCGGAAGACCAAGGGUUCCUGUCCAACGUUAAUCGGGGCAGGGUGAGUCGACCCCUAAGGCGAGGCCGAAAGGCGUAGUCGAUGGGAAACAGGUUAAUAUUCCUGUACUUGGUGUUACUGCGAAGGGGGGACGGAGAAGGCUAUGUCAGCCGGGCGACGGUUGUCCCGGUUUAAGCAUGUAGGCGGAGGUUCCAGGUAAAUCCGGUACCUUUUAACGCUGAGGUGUGAUGACGAGGCACUACGGUGCUGAAGUGAUAAAUGCCCUGCUUCCAGGAAAAGCCUCUAAGCAUCAGGUAACAUCAAAUCGUACCCCAAACCGACACAGGUGGUCAGGUAGAGAAUACCAAGGCGCUUGAGAGAACUCGGGUGAAGGAACUAGGCAAAAUGGUGCCGUAACUUCGGGAGAAGGCACGCUGAUGUGUAGGUGAAGCCCCUGCGGGCGGAGCUGAAAUCAGUCGAAGAUACCAGCUGGCUGCAACUGUUUAUUAAAAACACAGCACUGUGCAAACACGAAAGUGGACGUAUACGGUGUGACGCCUGCCCGGUGCCGGAAGGUUAAUUGAUGGGGUUAGCGGCAACGCGAAGCUCUUGAUCGAAGCCCCGGUAAACGGCGGCCGUAACUAUAACGGUCCUAAGGUAGCGAAAUUCCUUGUCGGGUAAGUUCCGACCUGCACGAAUGGCGUAAUGAUGGCCAGGCUGUCUCCACCCGAGACUCAGUGAAAUUGAACUCGCUGUGAAGAUGCAGUGUACCCGCGGCAAGACGGAAAGACCCCGUGAACCUUUACUAUAGCUUGACACUGAACACUGGUCCUUGAUGUGUAGGAUAGGUGGGAGGCUUUGAAGCGUGGACGCCAGUCUGCGUGGAGCCGACCUUGAAAUACCACCCUUUAAUGGCUGGUGUUCUAACGUAGACCCGUAAUCCGGGUUGCGGACAGUGUCUGGUGGGUAGUUUGACUGGGGCGGUCUCCUCCCAAAGAGUAACGGAGGAGCACGAAGGUUGGCUAAUCCUGGUCGGACAUCAGGAGGUUAGUGCAAUGGCAUAAGCCAGCUUGACUGCGAGCGUGACGGCGCGAGCAGGUGCGAAAGCAGGUCAUAGUGAUCCGGUGGUUCUGAAUGGAAGGGCCAUCGCUCAACGGAUAAAAGGUACUCCGGGGAUAACAGGCUGAUACCGCCCAAGAGUUCAUAUCGACGGCGGUGUUUGGCACCUCGAUGUCGGCUCAUCACAUCCUGGGGCUGAAGUAGGUCCCAAGGGUAUGGCUGUUCGCCAUUUAAAGUGGUACGCGAGCUGGGUUUAGAACGUCGUGAGACAGUUCGGUCCCUAUCUGCCGUGGGCGCUGGAGAAUUGAGGGGGGCUGCUCCUAGUACGAGAGGACCGGAGUGGACGCAUCACUGGUGUUCGGGUUGUCAUGCCAAUGGCACUGCCCGGUAGCUAAAUGCGGAAGAGAUAAGUGCUGAAAGCAUCUAAGCACGAAACUUGCCCCGAGAUGAGUUCUCCCUGAGACUU
rnacentral:rRNA from 1 species